rnacentral:rRNA from 1 species
CGAAAGCCUGACGGAGCAAUACCGCGUGAGGGAGGAAGGCUCUUGGGUUGUAAACCUCUUUUCUCAAGGAAUAAGAAAGUGAAGGUACUUGAGGAAUCAGCAUCGGCUAACUCCGUGCCAGCAGCCGCGGUAAGACGGAGGAUGCAAGCGUUUCCGGAAUUAUUGGGCGUAAAGCGUCCGCAGGCGGUUCAGCAAGUCUGCUGUCAAAGAGCGGGGCUCAACUCCGUAAAGGCAGUGGAAACUGCUGGGCUAGAGUAUGGUAGGGGCAGAGGGAAUUCCUGGUGUAGCGGUGAAAUGCGUAGAUAUCAGGAAGAACACCGGUGGCGAAAGCGCUCUGCUGGGCCGCAACUGACACUCAUGGACGAAAGCUAGGGGAGCG